rnacentral:rRNA from 1 species
CAGCAGCCGCGGGAAUACGGAGGGUGCGAGCGUUAAUCGGAAUUACUGGGCGUAAAGCGUACGCAGGCGGUUUGUUAAGUCAGAUGUGAAAUCCCCGAGCUUAACUCGGGAACUGCAUUUGAAACUGGCAGGCUGGAGUCUUGUAGAGGGGGGUGGAAUUCCAGGUGUAGCGGUGAAAUGCGUAGAGAUCUGGAGGAAUACCGGUGGCGAAGGCGGCCCCCUGGACAAAGACUGACGCUCAGGUGCGAAAGCGUGGGGAGCAAACAGGAUUAGAUACCCGUGUAGUCCCUGUCUCUUAUAC